GCGACCCCAGGAUGGGCGAGGC
rnacentral:rRNA from 4 species